AUUGAACGCUGGCGGCAGGCCUAACACAUGCAAGUCGAUCGCUGUCUUCGGACAGAGAGGCGCACGGGUGAGUAACACGUGGGAACAUACCCUUAAGUGCGGAAUAACUAUUGGAAACGAUAGCUAAUACCGCAUACGCCCUACGGGGGAAAGAUUUAUCGCUUAAGGAUUGGACCGCGUCUGAUUAGCUAGUUGGCGGGGUAACGGCCCACCAAGGCGACGAUCAGUAGCUGGUUUGAGAGAAUGAUCAGCCACACUGGGACUGAGACACGGCCCAGACUCCUACGGGAGGCAGCAGUGGGGAAUAUUUGACAAUGGGCGCAAGCCUGAUCCAGCCAUGCCGCGUGAGUGAAGAAGGCCUUCGGGUUGUGAAGCUCUUUCAGACGUGAAGAUGAUGACGGUAGCGUCAGAAGAAGCCCCGGCUAACUUCGUGCCAGCAGCCGCCGUAAGAC
rnacentral:rRNA from 1 species